CGCGUGCCGUGGCUGGGCCUCUGGGUGAGGAAACCUUCGGAGAGGUUUCCGGCUGGACUCUGUACCGAGCUGUACACCUCUCCAAGCACUCUCGCUCCCACCACUUCAUGAGAAGGCCAUGUGAAGACAGAGGACUGGAGUGAUGCAUCUACAAGCCAAGGACCACCUGGGGCUACCCAAAGCUGGCAGAAACAUGGAGAAGACUCUCCUUUCGAUCUCUCAGAAGGAACCAACCCUGCUGACAUUUUGAUUUUGGACUUUUAGUCUCCAGACUGUGAGAUAUUAAAUUUCUGUUGUUUAAAA